GAAAAGGGUUUCUGUCAUGAGUAGCACACAUAGGGCAACUCAAUUGCUCUGUGUGCAGAAUCAAGAGAUUUCAGAAGCCUAAUCUUCUGGUUCUUGGGCAGCUGGCGAUUGUUGGUACCCCA
ensembl:snRNA